GACGAACGCUGGCGGCGUGCCUAAUACAUGCAAGUAGAACGCACAGUUUAUACCGUAGCUUGCUACACCAUAAACUGUGAGUUGCGAACGGGUGAGUAACGCGUAGGUAACCUGCCUGGUAGCGGGGGAUAACUAUUGGAAACGAUAGCUAAUACCGCAUAAUAUUGAUUAUUGCAUGAUAAUUGAUUGAAAGAUGCUAUUGCAUCACUACCAGAUGGACCUGCGUUGUAUUAGCUAGUAGGUGAGGUAACGGCUCACCUAGGCGACGAUACAUAGCCGACCUGAGAGGGUGAGCGGCCACACUGGGACUGAGACACGGCCCAGACUCCUACGGGAGGCAGCAGUAGGGAUUCUUCGGCAAUGGACGAAAGUCUGACCGAGCAACGCCGCGUGAGUGAAGAAGGUUUUCGGAUCGUAAAGCUCGGUUGUAAGAGAAGAACGGGUGUGAGAGUGGAAAGUUCACACUGUGACGGUAUCUUACCAGAAAGGGACGGCUAACUACGUG
rnacentral:rRNA from 1 species